rnacentral:rRNA from 1 species
GGGAUAAACGCUGAAAGCAUCUAAGUGUGAAGCCCCCCUCGAGAUGAGAUUUCCCAUUCCUAUAUGGAAGUAAGACCCCUGAGAGAUGAUCAGGUAGAUAGGCUGGAAGUGGAAGUGCAGCGAUGCAUGGAGCGGACCAGUACUAAUCGGUCGAGGACUUAACCAA